ACUGCUCCACUUCACAUUAUUGUCCAAUGAAAUUUGAGCUUGUGCCAGAUCAUGAUUGGCUGGUGUAUUAUAGGCUACAUGACAAACGGGCAUUGAUGAAUUAUGUUAUCAGAAUCAGAAUCAGAAUGAGCUUUAUUGCCAGAAAUGAAAGGUCCUUCCAAGAAAGUGACAGUAUGAAGUAUGCAUUGACAUUUGCAUGUGAUUAUGAAUGCGUUCUCUAUUCAAAGUCUCCCAGGGCUCUAACGCAUUUGAUAUCUGACCCGAAACAGCACAGAAAGCGCACCUGAAACUCUGCACCCGCGGAGGAAUAUUGCAGACAAUGGGCAAUGACAACGCUAAAAUGAAUGUGAUAAACAGGAGCAGCAGGAAUGUACGAGCCUUUAUAAGCCAAGAGAAGCUGGACGUUGAAGCCUUCAUUACAAAAUACAAUGGCCAAAGCGUGGACACCCUGCUGCCACAUUCUGCAAUAAAGAAGUUCUGCUUUCGACCCGAUGUCCCAAGCUACCGUAUUCUAAUUUCUGAAAACGGUGCGCUUCCUUGGGAAAAGAACCAGUAUAUUUCACUGUUCAUUGAAGAUGAGGACGAUAAGGAAAUCUGUAUUAAGCACGUCUGUCUCUGCAUGCCUUUACCUUAUGUAGCUUCAAUUUUAAUAUAUGAUAUAUGAUGAGUUAGACACACUGUCUGUUUGUUUGCUUCACUAUAUGACAGUCAUCCUCUUUUGUUGUAUUUCACAGUUAAGUUUAAUAUCUCUUCAGUAAUGCAUCCGUAGCAGUUGCUUUUCAGAACAAGUCAAUAAAAAUAG